rnacentral:rRNA from 14 species
CGAAAGUGAUAAGUAUCCCACCUGGGGAGUACGUUCGCAAGAAUGAAACUCAAAGGAAUUGACGGGGGCUCGCACAAGUGGUGGAGCAUGCGGUUUAAUUCGAUGCUACGCGAAAAACCUUACCAACCCUUGACAUGGUGAUCGUAGGCUACAGAGAUGUAGCCGUCAGUUCGGCUGGAUCACACACAGGUGUUGCAUGGCUGUCGUCAGCUCGUGUUGUGAGAUGUUGGGUUAAGUCCCG